UGGAGACAAGAGGGCUCGAAAGGGAUGUUUAAAAAUCCAGAUUCAACAGUUUACAAAUUUCCGACUUGAUGAAACAAUGGACAAAAAUCGUUCUUUAUUUGUUCUUAAAGUGUUUGCUUUCAAGAUCAAGAUGGGGUCAUAGAAAAAAACAAGUAGAGCAAAGUGUUUUAUGCACCAUGUCAAGUGGAUGAGCUCCAUCAAUACAAAUACACACACACGUUUACCCUAAAGGCUAAUUUGCAUAUUGUAGAUACCUUCACUGUAACCAUAGAGACGUUACAUCAUGAUGGAACAUUUCUCCAUGUUCCAUGUUCUAUGCUCCGUUCACCACAGCAUAAGAACACAGUCUGUUGCACAUCCAGUCAGUCAGUUUCAAACCUCGCAUCUACACACUGAAGUUUUCCGGACCUACACUUGCAGAAAGCAACCAUGUAAUGCCUCAGGAGUCUGUAGAGGGGACGAAGACGCGUUCUGCUGCACUUAACAGAGCUCAAGACCAACAGGACGCCAUCAGGAUGCCACGUCAUCGGGGACGCCACGUCAUCGGGACGCCAUCAGGACUCCGCGUCAACCCCCUCAGGAGCAAAUCCAGAUCUAAUCAUGAAACACACACACACACACACACACAGAUGUACUCAGAGACACACUAACAUUUAGACACGCUGGCAAUUUAGAUGUACAAUUAGAUGUACACACAGACACACUAAUUAUUUGGUUCUAAACAAUGACACACACUAAUAUUUAGAUGUACACAAAGACACAAUAACAAUUAGAUAUACACACAGACACACUAACAUUUAGAUGUACACACAGACACACUAACAUUUGGUUCUAAACAAAGACACACUAAUAUUUAGAUGUGCACAAAGACAUAUUAAUAUUUAGAUGUACACACAGACACACUAACAUUUAGAUGUACACACAGACACACUAACAAUUAGAUGUAAACACAGACACACUAACAACAUUAACAUGUUAAUAACUUUUCUUCUUUUCUCUCUUCUCAGGAACUGCUUCAGAUGUUUUCCCAAUGAUUGUGUUAUUAUUAUUGUUAAAUAUGUCGUCUGUUUAUUAUUUUAACAAUGAAAAUACAUUUUAAUAAAAAUAAAACCAAAUGAAUCCAUCUUGUUUUCUUCAGACCAAAGAGAAUCACAUGUUCUUUAUUAUUCGUUGACUUGAAUGAAGUGAAACAACAAUGAUCUUGAGUUAAUGA
ensembl:lncRNA